rnacentral:rRNA from 1 species
AGAGUUUGAUCCUGGCUCAGGAUGAACGCUAGCGACAGGCUUAACACAUGCAAGUCGAGGGGCAGCACAGGUAGCAAUACCGGGUGGCGACCGGCGCACGGGUGAGUAACGCGUAUGCAACUUACCUAUCAGAGGGGGAUAACCCGGCGAAAGUCGGACUAAUACCGCAUGAAGCAGGGGCCCCGCAUGGGGAUAUUUGCUAAAGAUUCAUCGCUGAUAGAUAGGCAUGCGUUCCAUUAGGCAGUUGGCGGGGUAACGGCCCACCAAACCGACGAUGGAUAGGGGUUCUGAGAGGAAGGUCCCCCACAUUGGUACUGAGACACGGACCAAACUCCUACGGGAGGCAGCAGUGAGGAAUAUUGGUCAAUGGCCGAGAGGCUGAACCAGCCAAGUCGCGUGAAGGAAGAAGGAUCUAUGGUUUGUAAACUUCUUUUAUAGGGGAAUAAAGUGGAGGACGUGUCCUUUUUUGUAUGUACCCUAUGAAUAAGCAUCGGCUAACUCCGUGCCAGCAGCCGCGGUAAUACGGAGGAUGCGAGCGUUAUCCGGAUUUAUUGGGUUUAAAGGGUGCGUAGGCGGCACGCCAAGUCAGCGGUGAAAUUUCCGGGCUCAACCCGGAAUGUGCCGUUGAAACUGGCGAGCUAGAGUACACAAGAGGCAGGCGGAAUGCGUGGUGUAGCGGUGAAAUGCAUAGAUAUCACGCAGAACCCCGAUUGCGAAGGCAGCCUGCUAGGGUGCGACAGACGCUGAGGCACGAAAGCGUGGGUAUCGAACAGGAUUAGAUACCCUGGUAGUCCACGCAGUAAACGAUGAAUACUAACUGUUUGCGAUACAAUGUAAGCGGUACAGCGAAAGCGUUAAGUAUUCCACCUGGGGAGUACGCCGGCAACGGUGAAACUCAA